CAGUCGCCACGGUAAUACGGAGGGUGCAAGCGUUAAUCGGAAUUACUGGGCGUAAAGCGCACGCAGGCGGUCUGUCAAGUCAGAUGUGAAAUCCCCGGGCUUAACCUGGGAACUGCAUUUGAAACUGGCAGGCUAGAGUCUUGUAGAGGGGGGUAGAAUUCCAGGUGUAGCGGUGAAAUGCGUAGAGAUCUGUAGGAAUACCGAUGGCGAAGGCAGCCAUCUGGCCUAAUACUGACGCUGAGGUACGAAAGCAUGGGGAGCAAACAGGAUUAGAUACCCGAGUAGUCCCUGUCUCUUAUAC
rnacentral:rRNA from 1 species